GACGAACCGUGCGAACGUUGUUCGGAAUCACUGGGCUUAAAGGGUGCGUAGGCGGGCGAUCAAGUCCGGGGUGAAAUCCUCCAGCUUAACUGGAGAAUAGCCUUGGAUACUGGUAGUCUCGAGUGAGGUAGGGGCAGCUGGAACUUCCGGUGGAGCGGUGAAAUGCGUUGAUAUCGGAAGGAACGCCGGUGGCGAAAGCGAGCUGCUGGACCUCUUCUGACGCUGAGGCACGAAAGCCAGGGGAGCAAACGGG
rnacentral:rRNA from 1 species